GGGGGGGGGGGGGGGGGGGGGGGGGGGGGGGGGGGGGGGGGGGGGGGGGGGGGGGGGGCUCGGGGCCUGCUGCCGCCGUGCGGGGUUUGUUUAUCGAGCGUUUCGACCAUAAAUCAUAGUAUUGACAGUAGCGUUGUUCGGGAAGAGGCUCUUCUCCGUGCCCUCAAAGCGCGUGUUGCGGCAUUAGAGAAACGGCCAGAAAGUGAACGUGAGCAGAUCAGGAGUUAAGAAAAUGCUUAUCAAGGCCUUGGCACUCAGAGUUUCUGCCUGCAGAAGUCCCUGUUAGUGGGUGUUUCCCUGCUCACAGAGGGCACUGCCUGAGCUUUGCAAUUUGUAGCUGCUGUCAGCUGGGCUGCACUGAGGUGAACAAUUAGUUCCACUGUGAAACAGAAGGUGAUGCGGUGCCUGCCAGCAGUCAGAAACCUGCAGAUAAGACCUUCUGUACCAACUGUUUGUGAUUUUCUACAGUUACUGCUAGAAACAAGAACAGAUGGAUACUUCCUUAACACCUGCUGCUGUGGGAGUCUUCUGAAACACUUGCAAACAGGUGGAGAGCAGAUGAUUGAGAGGAAGCAGAACCAUGGGCGAAACCAAUUUCUGAAUCGGCAGCCUUCUUUUUUGUUUUCAUUGCAACUGAAAAUUGGUCCAAAGAGUUAUGUUCUUGAUGAAGCUACAUGCUGUGCCAAAGCUAGAUGUUAUUGAGCUUGCUUAUCAGACAUGAUAAGCAAUACAAGAAUAUAACUACAGCAGAUAUCCCUUUGCCACGUGCCCAGUGAGGGCAACAUUAUGGCUGCAUACUCUGAAACAGGAAAAGGAGAACAACACUGAUGUUCCACAAGGACCUUUGCAUGGAUUUCAUCCACUUCAUGGAUUUAAUGAGAAAUGAAUGGGCAAGCAACAAAGACAAUGUCUCCUUGUAGCUAAAGAAAUCUCAGUCUGAUUCUGAUCGUUAGGCACUUAUGUGCCACCAUAUUACUGGUUAAAAUACUUUUCCAAACUCACUUUUUCUAAGCAAAUAAACAAAAUAGCAGCAAAAUCACAACCAUCACAACAGAGUGAAAAAAUAGCCAUUGCUGAUCUUGCAGAAACAUCCUCUUCCAAUGAACAAUGUGUGCUUUCAGACCUUUGACUAUGGCCAUCUUCAGAGACUGUGAAUAAUUGUUUACUCAUGGGCAUUUAUGUAAGUCCUUCAGCCGGUAAGCAUCUCCUUUUCCAAUUUUCAACAUAUUUUCUUUUCUCAGAGACAGAAGUGUCUUUCCUCCUGGGUUUCCAUAGAACCCUUCUUUGUUACAGGUCUACCCAAGACUAGAGUUAGGCAGUCAUUCAUUGUCCACAAUUUCUGUCUUCAUUUAAAACAAACAAACAAACAAACAAACAAAUUUCAUGUGUGCAAAUAAAAUCAUAGCAGCAUAAGGAAUACCAACUAUAUCAGUGAGUCAAUGUGUUAAAUUUUUGCCACCCCCAUUAAUUUGUAACCCUCUUGACUACUAGACCUACAGAGCUGGCCACAAAAUGACACCAUUAUCUUCAUCUUUGCUCACAUAAAAAGUUGUAUCAGAUUUUUUAUCUUCAAACCCUUGCAGAAGUAUUAACCUCACAUCUCAUUCCCUUUAGAGUCUGCAGCUCCUGAAGAGUCCAGAGUGCAGAGGCAGAUUUACCCUGAAGGACUGCAGUCCAUGGAAGGGCACAUGCUGGAGCAGAGGAAAAGUAAGUGGAGGAAGGCAUGAGAAAGAAGAGCUCUUGUGAGGUUGCAAUACUCAUUCUUUCUGCACCAGGCUCGGGGCAGGAGCGAGUUGGGGAUGAAAGAAUUAUGUGGAGUCUGGCAAAAGAGGGGGUUGAGGGUGGUGGGAAAGUGCUUUAGUUUUUGUUUAUUUGUCUUAUGUUCUUACUCUAUUUUAGUUGUUAUUAUUAAUUAAUUUUGUCCCAUCAAGUCUGUUUCGCCCACAACAGUUGCUGGUGAGCAAUCUCCUUGCCCUCAUCUCAACCCAUGAGUUGUUUUCUUCUUAUUUUUUCAUCCUGUCCCACUGAGGAAGAGCAAGGAGAGAGCUGCUGGGUAGGAGAUUGCUAGCCAUGGCUAAUCUACCAUACCAGUGUAUCAUCUUUGCAGCAUCUCUAAUUUGAUUUGUAUCAAAGGAGAGUAUUCAAAAAGUCACAGUUCUAGAAAAAAUAUGUGCAUGUAACUUCAAGUUCUCAAGCUAAGCACAUUAAAGAUUUCACUUGCCACUUUGUGGGUAAAACUGGACAUUCCAGCAAAAGAUGUGCAUGUAUGCCUUAUAAUUUUUUAAUUUCUCAAAAGUUAUUCUUAGUAAUUUUCCUCAUUUCUCAUUUUUAAUUAUGGGGGGGGGAGAUUAAUUCAAAUUACCCGAAUAACUUUUGAAAACUAAUUCCUAUUCUUCCUACAUGUUCAAUCUGUAAGAUGUAUGCACAAAGUAGCAUUUGUCAAGAUGUGAAUACAUAACCAUAAUGACAUUAAUGUCUUAUCCAGGAGUCCCUGCUGGAUAAACACUGCUGGGGCAUCACACUUGCCAAGCAGAGCCAAGGCAGUCUACUGUACCUUCUCGUUGCUUUCUACAGCUCAGGCUUUCUUCCAUUAUCUCCUCCAAUCAAGCAUGAUUACAUACUAGCUUCAGCUGGCAUUCUGACAGUUCAAGACAUCAGAUACUGAUAAAUACAAACAGUGCUCUGAAAUUUGGAAAUCAGUAUGUAAGAGGUGGUAUGAUUGAACUUUGGAACCCAUAUAAGCUGUAUCCAUAUAAUACAAUAAAUGCUGCAAAUGGUAUUAGAUGUUUCAAUAUCUAUAUUAUGUACCUUUAAACAUUCCAAAAUACAUUUAAAGUGUCUAGAAGUGUUUCGAAUGGAUCUUGUGCACAUGCAGUGUUCAGUCAAGUGGAUUGCCCCUGCACAGAUUAUGAACGUACCUGAUCUAUAAAACUCAGCUUCCUCUCUGACCUGUGUCUUCCCUUGUGACACCUAGUUAUUUGAGCUAGCAGAUCUAAAAUGUGCUUAAUAGAUUUGUAAUUUUAUCCUGAGUGAAGAAUCAACUCAACUUCUAUCCAAUUUCAGAAUAACAUUUUAAAAAAUGGCAACUGAAAAUCUGCUAAGAUUUUUUUAUCAAAACUGCCGUAUAAGAUUUUUUUUUAAAAAAGCAGUUGCUCUAUAUUUAUGACAGUGGCUCAUCGAUUGCUAAAAACAAAAGCAAAAAUUUCAAAAUAAUGCUAAAAAUGGAGUUAAAGUUUGUAGCUGAGAUUCUUCAAAAAGGUUCUGAAUUUGGGGUUAGAGUACUAUCAUGUCUUUUUAUUUCAUGCUUAAUAACCCUUUUUUGCCUGUGAGAGUCUUUCAUUUCUGAAACUUGGCAGGAUAUAGCAUGUUAUUAAUCGAUAUUGUAAACUCAAGUCUUGAUUUUGUUGGUUGUCCCAAGUAUCAUACAAACAUAAGGAAAACAAAUACCUCAACUGAAAAGCUUAAAUUUAAUUUUGUCACAAUUCAGAUCUUAUGCAGGAAGCUGAGUGGCUUAUAAUUCUUAGGUCAUUAGUUGCUAUAGGACCACAGAUUUUAGAAAGCUGAUGUGCCUUGCAAGGCCAGAUACUUCAUUUAAGCCAAACAAGGAAACAGUACAAUUUCUGACUGUUUUUCUAAUGGCAGAGGGCAAUGGAACUUUAGAGUAGGAUAGUUCAGCUGGAAGAACCUGUAAGACAAUCAUCCAGUCCAGCUGACCGACCAGUUCAGGACUGACCAAAAGUUAAAGCAUGCUAUUAAGGGCAUCCAAAUGACUUUUAAAUGCUGACAGGCCUGGGGCAUUGACCACCUCUCUAGGAAGCCUGUUCCAGUGUUUGACCACCCUCUCAUGCAGAAAUGCUUCCUAAUCCAGUCUGAACCUCCUGUGGUGAAGGCUGAAACUAUUCCCUUCUGUCCUAUCCCUGGCUUGGAGGGAGAAGUGAUCAGAAGAUCCGUCUCCACUUCCCCUCCUCAGGAAGCUGCUCCAGAGAGCAAUGAGGUCACCUCUCAGCAUCCUUCAUUCCAAACUAGACAAACGCCAAGUCCUCAGCUGCUCGUCAUAGGACUUGUGUUCUAAAUUCAGAUUAAGUGUUAAUAGAUGUCCAGAGUUGAAAUUACUAUGUGUGCAUGUGUGUAUACCAGAAGGAAAACACAGGAAACAGCAAGUGAAUUAAGUCAGGGAGCAAUCCAAAGAAGAGAAUUCAGAGUAAAUGUUAUCAGAUGAAAGAUGUGUCUCCUGUUUCUUAUUUUCCACCAUAUUCAGGAAAAUUGGAUUCCAUGUACAUUUUUCAAAAAUAAACAAGAUUACAACAAAGACAUUUCUGAUUGCAAAAUCAAUUUCAGGGGAAAAUAAAACAAUCUGAAAGGUCUCAAACUGCUCAGCUCCUCAAGCUAUAUCUCUGUGGAAUUGUGUCAUGCUAUUCUUCUUAUUAUAGACCUGUAAGAGAAAAGAAGGGUGUUAUUUCCAAAAUGUUAUAGUUUGUGAGUUACAAACUGAAGGAAAAACAAAAAUGUAUUUGCGAGGCAAUGAAAGAUUAUUGCACAUUCAUUUAAAGCUAAAACAUACAGUUUGUAAUUUAAAGGUAAAUCAUUCUAUAUUUAAAUGUUGUAUUUUUCUUAUGAAGUGACUUACCCAAGCAAAACAGCAAUGCUGAUUUGUCAUAAGAAAGCCAUUUUGCCAUACAGAAAUGGAAUAUUUUUCAGUUACAGUUAUUUUCAUCAUUCUGUGAUAUAGCUAUUUCUUCUUACUUUAUUAUUUUUAACUGUUAAAAAUGAUCUUGUCAGUAGUGAAGGAAUAUAACAACUUUUCAAAGUUUACAUUUCUGUUCUUUUGAAGACAACAUAUUAAAAAAAAAAACCACAAACUGCCCAAUGUCCUUAUGCUAAAACAGGAAGUGUUCUAGGCAUUCUGCUAGAACAUGGGGAGGAAGCUUUGGUCCUUGCUCUGAAGGUUGCUGGUAUUUUUAAACAAAUACAGUUUAAUGCAAAGUGUUGCUGUCGAGAAGCCUUGUCUGGAAAUCAGUGCUGUCUUCCCUCUUGGGUGAUUCCUUUAUCCACAAACCUUUAUUUACACUUUGCUUCUCUGCUUUUCCACAUGGUCCCUGUAUGCUGAGCUAG
rnacentral:lncRNA from 1 species